rnacentral:rRNA from 1 species
UACGUAGGGCGCAAGCGUUAUCCGGAAUUAUUGGGCGUAAAGAGCUCGUAGGCGGUUUGUCGCGUCUGCCGUGAAAGUCCGGGGCUCAACUCCGGAUCUGCGGUGGGUACGGGCAGACUAGAGUGCGGUAGGGGAGAUUGGAAUUCCUGGUGUAGCGGUGGAAUGCGCAGAUAUCAGGAGGAACACCGAUGGCGAAGGCAGAUCUCUGGGCCGUAACUAACGCUGAGGAGCGAAAGCAUGGGGAGCGAACAGG